UUUUUUUUUAUUAUAGUUGAUUUACAAUAUUCUGUCAAUUUCUGCUGUACAGCAAAGUGACCCACUCAUAUAUACACACACACAUUUUCUUUUUCUCACAUUAUCCUCUGUCAUGGUUCAUCACAAGUGACCAGAUACAGUUCCCUGUGCUACACAGGAGGACCUCACUGUUUAUCUACUCCCAAUGCAAUGUUUGCUCAUGUUCAUUGCUGUAUAGUAUUCCACUGCCUGUAUAUAUCAUUAUUUAUUUAGUCAAGCACUGAGCGAUAGUUUGGAGUUCAAAGUUCAAAGUGUGGGGCUUUUACAAAGUGCAGCUGUCAAUAUUUUGACGGGGUGGGGGUGGGGUCACGCACAUAGCAUGUGGCACUUGCCAGGCCAGGGAUCAAACCACACCACAGCAAUGACCUGAGCCAUAGCAAUGGCAAUGCCAGAUCCUUAACCCGCUAAGCCACGAAGGGCUCCCAGCUGUGACUAUUCUUGUCGUAAGUACGCAUUUGUGUCAGAAGAGAAUCACGCCACCACGGAGAGUGCAUGUGUUCACAGAGCGAGGCCCAAGUGGACUGCGGUAGCCCCUUGCUUAAACCCUCCAUGGCUCCCCAAUGGCUUCAGCAUAAAGUCACAACUUCUGGAAUUUCAACGCACAUGGGCCCUGCCUGUUCUGGCGUAUUCUCUGUCUCCUUCCUUCCUCCACCUCAAACCCUGCUCUUGGACGGGCUCCUUUCCCACCUCGCUGAACCUCUGUUCCCUUCUUGGGACCUGCCGAGCCUUUUCUCUGCCAAGGACCCCCCCCCCCCAUUUGACAGGCUGCAGCUUCCAACUGGCCAGUUCUUACUUGCUCUUUCUUGUUUUUUGGUUUUUAGGGCCACAUCCACGGCAUAUGGAGGUUCCUAGGCUAUGGGUCCAACUGGAGCUACAGCUGCCUGCCCACGCCACAGACAGAGCAGUGCAGGAUCUGAGCCUCGUCUGCGACCUCCACCACAGCUCACAGCAAGGCCGGAUCCUUAACCCACUGAGUGAGGCCAGGGAGCGAACCUGCAACCUCAGGGGUCCUAGUCGGAUUUGUUUCCACUGUGCAUGACGGGGACUCCCUUACCCAUUCUUUAUUUUGUAGACCAAACAGAAUUUCCUCAAAAAGGCCUCUCCCGACCCCACUGUAAAAGAAUAAUCGCUGUCCCUGUCACCCAUUGCCCGCUGUCCCUGCCACCCAUUGCCCGCUGUCCCUGCCGCCCACUGCCCGCUGUCCCUGCCGCCCAUUGCCCGCUGUCACCCAUUGCCCGCUGUCCCUGUCACCCAUUGCCCGCUGUCACCCAUUGUCCACUGUCCCUGUCACCCAUUGCCCGCUGUCCCUGCCGCCCACUGCCCGCUGUCCCUGCCGCCCAUUGCCCGCUGUCACCCAUUGCCUGCUGUCGCUGUCACCCACUGCCCGCUGUCCCUGUCGCCCAUUGCCCGCUGUCCCUGUCGCCCAUUGCCCGCUGUCCCUGUCACCCACUGCCCAGCUCAUAGUUACACGGAGACGCAACGUGGAGUCGGCUCACUGCAGACCGCCGUGCCCCGGAGACCAUGAGCAAAGGGACUGGCACUGCUGGCAUCCCCGCUGGAUCCCCCACACCAGGCACUGCGCAGGGACACAGUAGGGGCUCAAUAAAUAACAAUACUCUUCUCUACGGAUCAGAUAAGAGAUGACGCAAGGCCUUGGAGUCGCAGAGUCCGCUGCUCUUGUGCCUUGAGGCAACUUCCCUAAACUCCCUGGGCCUCCGCUUCCUACUCUGUGAAACAGGGAUAAUCCUGUGGCCUGGAAACACACACGCACACCACUGAGAAAGGGUCGGCCACAUGUCAGUGCCACUGCAGCAGUGGCUUCGGCGCUCCAGCUCUUUGGAGCCUUACCACAACCCGGGGGGCAGGCAGCCUUUCCUUAGUGAUGAGGAAACGGAGCAACUCAAGUCCCAGGGGGUUCAAUAGUCGGCCCAGUAAUUCUGGCUCCAAGUCCCGGCCUCCUCCGCGACAGGGCUGGCAGGGGUGGCAUGAGAAAGACAAUGAAAACAGAGAAGGGCCCGUGGUGAGCUCCAGACAGCCAAGAGCCUGACUCGCUCCUGUCCCUUUGACGGCCACUCAUCUCCGCGAAGCCCAAAGAUUCCGAGCGCAGCAUGACAACCCCUGGGCUACACAAACACCCGUGGCUAUUAAUAGCUAGGAAGGAGAAAAUAGAAAGAUCCCAUUACAGAACAAUUUCAAACUUGUAUACAACAAACGACAUCACAAAUGAGGUCAAAAGACAAAUGAGAGUGUGGGAGAAAGGAUGGAGACCUCACAGAACAGAGGCUCGGCCUGGACACGCUUCCGCAGAUAAACAGGAAACACACACACGACCCAGUGGGAAAACGGGCAGACUGGGGACCGUGCGCCAGGAGGAAAUGACCCACGGCGCGGAAGCGGGGAAACAAAAUUAAAUGACGAGCUCCCGAAGGUCUGCCGGUACUGGCAGAAAUGAAAACUACUGGGGACAUUCACGAGUGAUGAAGGCACAAGAAAACCAACCCUGAGACACGCCACGGGGCUGUGAAAAAAUUAGAGGCUUUUAGGAAACAUUCAGAAGUGAAAGAAGUGAAAGAAAGGAGAGAUGGUGCUACAGAUGGAUGACAGGUAAAACACGGACAGACACAAAAGCAGUCGCUAGAGGUUUCUUUUUGCAAUUGACAAGAACCUAGAAACACCCCGAGGCAUCACACAGUUGUGCGUUAACAGAGCUAAAAACGCCGAACUCCGAACGUGCCGACCUCCCAUUACUUCCAAACAUAUGAAGUAAAACAGAAUGUUAAGGAAUCAUUUCUUUGGUUUGAGCCUAUUUUCGUGGAAAACAAAAAUAGGCAUAACCAAAUCACCUUGAACAGUUCUUGAAGCAGAGAAGAAAGCCGGAAAAUCUGGAGUCCAGGUUGUGGUGCAGGGGAGACGAAGCCAACUAGGACCCAUGAGGAUGCAGGAUUGAUCCCCACCCAGCCUCGCUCAGCGGGCCGGGGAUCCAGUGUGGCCGUGAGCUGUGGCGGAGGCUGGCAGGUGCGGCUCCGAUUCCACCCGCUGGCCUGGAAACACCCAUAUGCAGUGGGUGUGGCCCUAAAAAGCAAAAAUAAAUAAUUUUAAAACAAGAAAGUAGGAGAAUCAAAUUUCUGAUUUGGAGGGAGUUUUGCUUCAUAUACAUCGUUUAAGUUUGAACGGUUGCCAUGGGCAUGUAUUUUAUUUAAAAAUUAAUGAAUAAGCCCUGCCCACUAAUCACGACUUAUAAGCGUGGCCUGCCUGUCUACUCUCUCAUGAACCCUGUCCUGCUUUUUUCGCACUGACUUUGCUUCAGUUUCUACAAGUAAGCCGCUGGCUGGAGAGAAGGGGUCAUUGGCCUCUGAACAACCUCCGCUGAGGAACCUCUUGGCUGCUCUGCUGCCCUGGUUUUCAGGGGGAGGAAACCGGUAUCGUUACUCUUCUAAGAAGAAAUGUAUGUUCUGAGCAUGCGAUACCACGUGUAGUGGAAAAUCCAAAGCGAACAGGAGCAGGUGGUGACAAGCGAGUCCCUGCCGCCCGGCUCUAGGCCAGUGUCCGGGUCCUUUCAGAGGUGGUCCCGGCAGACACUAGCACACGCGUGUGUAGAAUCUACUUUUUCUAGGAACACAAAUGCUGUAAAUGUCUUUAUACACGGAAAAGUCUUUCUAAAGGAAGAUGCCUUUUGAUCUUUUGGAGCCAGAACCUGAUUAGUUCCAAGGUUGCACUUCUUUCCUGCUUGAGAAGCCACACCUCCCCCGCAGAGGCAGUGACUCCAUCAUUCGUCCGUCCACCAGUCUGUCUGUUGGUCCAGCCACCCAUCCAUCCACAUCCGCUAAUGAGUGUUUGGUGAGCACUCACUGUGGCCCGGACACUAGGCUACAGGCUGGAGAAAAAAGUGGUGAAAAGAGAAGCUCCUGUCGUGGCUCAGCGGUUAUCAAACCCGACUAGGAACCAUGAAGAUGAGAGUUCGAUCCCUGGCCUUGCUCUGUGGGUUAAGGAUCCGGCGGUGCCGUGAGCUGUGGUGUAGGUCGCAGACGCGGCUCAGAUCCCGUGUUGCUGUGGCUGUCGUGUAGGCCAGCAGGUGCAACUCCGAUUUGAUCCUUAGCCUGGAACCCGCCACAUGCCUCGGGUGGCACCCCCACAAAAAAAAUGGUGAAAAGAUAAGGUCCUUGCUCUCAGCCAGCUGGCCUGCCGGGGACAUAACAAAUUGUGUAGAAGGAAACAAAUAAUAGAAGAAAAGGAACACAGUUCAGACCACGGGAAGGGCCCUGGGGAGAUUCGCUGUCAGUUGGGGGGGCGGGCAGAGGAGGAGAGAGGGGAGAAAAGGGGGGCGCUGUUAUGGAUGGAGUGGCAGGAAGAUCUCCCUCAGGAGGUGACAUUUCGUCUAAGAACUGAAUGACAAGAAGGAGCAGAUGCUGCCGGGUUCCUGGCUCUGAUGACUUUCCGGCGAGCGCUUUCCCGGGCAGAGCUUCAGGCCGCGCUGAGCGGCGAAGGGGGCGGGGAGGUGCUCAUCUGACCCCACCUCGGCCACCGAAAGCCAGGGGGCCUUGGGGACGUGACUGAAGCUCUCCACGCCUCAGUUUCCUCACCUGGAAUAUGACGCCACCUAAAAGCAGUAUCCGUCGAUCAGCAUGCCACUGAAAAUUAAAUGGACGGAGCAACGCGGGCUGCCCAGGCUGGCACGAAGAAAGGGAUCCCAAAAUAAUCACGUUAAAAAAUUAUUGUUAUUCUUAUUAAUGUAUUUAUUAUCUUUUUGUCUUUUCUGAGGCCGCACCCACAGCCUGUGGAGGUUCCCAGGCCAGGGGUCCAAUCGGAGCUGUAGCCACCGGCCUCGACCAGAGCCACAGCAACGCCGGAUCCGAGCCUCAUCUCCGACCUGCACCCCAGCUCACGACAAGGCCGGAUCCUUAACCCACGGAGUGAGAGAUAAACCUAUUUAUAAAACAGAAACAGACUCACAGACAUGGAGAACAGACUUGUGGGUGUCGAGGGGGAGGGAGCGGGGGGGGGACGGGGAGUUUGGGGUUCGCAGAGGCAAACGAUGACAUUUAGGAUGGAUAAGCAGUGAGGUCCUGCUGCGCAGGGAACUCUACUCAGUCUCUUGGAACAGACCUUGACGGAAGACAAAGUCGGCAAAGGACACACAGACACACAGCCAUGACUCGGUCCCUCGGCCAUACAGCAGACACUGGCACACUGGCUAGACUGUGAUAAAAACAUUUAGAAAUCCUGCCUCUACCAAAGACACCGUAAGCGCAUAGAGACACGUUAUAAUCUGGGAGAAAAUAUUUGCACAUCAC
rnacentral:lncRNA from 9 species